rnacentral:lncRNA from 1 species
AUAUAAAAGAAGCAACAAAAAUCUUAUAGUCGUGAUAACUAUUGAUAUAAUAUUAAAAAUCAAAAUUAAUGCAAAAACUCAUGAUGAAUAAAAUUAAAGUAGUAAAUUCUUAAACUGAAAUUCAUAUUAUUUUUCCUUUAGCCUCAGGAUUCAAUAUGGCACCACAUGGAACUAACAGUACAAUGAAUAAUACAUUGUGAUGUGCAAUGGAAUGCUAUACAGCAAUGAGAAUGAAUGAACUAUGUGUACAGUAAGUAACCUCGAUAAAUGUAUGUCAAAUUCAAAAUGAAUGUAACUAAUCUAGAAUACUAGAAAUCAGGAUAAUAUUUUCCCUUGGAAGAGUGCAAGAGAAAGUUUCUAAGAAUCCAGGAAUAUUUUGUUUCUUGAUUUGUAUGUUAUGUGAGUUUUAUACUUUGGAAGACUUCAUCUAUCUCUUCAUUUUUAGUUUGUGAAUUUUUAAUGUCCUAUCCUUCCAUAUAAAAAUUUUUAAAGAAAUUAGAUAAUUGGAAAUCUGAGCACUGAAUAUUUGGUGAUUUUAAGAGAUUGCCAAAAAUUUAGGUGUGGUAAUGAUAAAGUAGUUUCAUAAUUAACUAUAAAAGAAACCUUAUAGUUUAGAUAGUUACUGAAAUACUUAUGGAUAAAAUGGUAUCAAGUAUAGAAUUUGCUUCAAAAUAAAAUGGAAAUUGGAAAAGUGGAAGAGGGAACAGAAGAAACAAGACUGGCUGUGGAUUCUUAUUUGCUGAUAGAUAAGUGUACUUUUUUAUGCUUUCAUGCAUAGUUACAAUUUUUAUAAUUAAAACAUCGAAGAAAACUCAUGGGAUCACCACCAAGGGACUACUUUGACAGAAAUAUGCACUAAAUAUACAUUACAAAAUACAGAAGAACAUGAGGAAUAAAAUGCGCUCAAUUCAUUUCUACGACUGUUUACCUUAUGCCUGCCAUGUGCUGCUGUGCCUAAUCAAGUUGGCUGGGCCCACAGAGGUGAAGAAUUCAGAGUCAGACCUGCAGCGAUUUCUACCUGGCUGGCAGCGCCCUCCGGAUGUGAUGAUCCUUACAAGGAAUAAACCCACUUGCUCUGAAUGCACAACCAUUGUCUGGUUAUGAUCCUCCUAACAGUGUUCAUACAUCAAAGCAGCACUCAUUUCAAAGCCUUUUUGAAUUAAAUUAAAUAUUUGAAGCACUAGAAAAAAAUCUUCCUAAAAAUAACCUAUGCUUACUGAAUUCCUUUCAUCUAAUGCCAUGUUCUGACAAAAAAAGUAAUUGGGGUUUUUCUUGCAUGACUUUGCUCUCUCGUAUUCUUGCCAUCUGAUUGGUUAUGGCGUGGCCAGACCACUGCUUCUCAUCUCUCAUUUGGCAUGUUAUUAGUCUAAACAGAAUUCUAUGCAGGCAAACAUUAAUACUGAUACAGAAAAUGAGCCGGACUUUAGCCUUUAAUGUUAAGUUAUUUAAGAAGCAUAUAUUUUAUACAAGACAUUGUAUUAUGUUACAAAGCAGAGAAUGAAGGAAAGUAUGCAUGAAAUUAACAAUACAUUUUUAUAUACACAUUUGAAGUAAGAUACUAAAAUGUAUUUAAUUUAUUCUGUUGUUUUGUUUGUAUAAUCACAGCUUAUGCCCUUUAUUUCAGCUAUUAGAUUGUUCCUUUCUACAGUGUCAUGUCGUUAGUGACCAGGAAAUAUCAUGAAAGUCCCACUCUCAUAAAAAUGUUUACUAUGGAUCAAAAUCUGAGAGUUUGUUAGAUUAAAUUUCCAGAUACUGAUUGAAAACAAUAUCAAUGGAAAAAGACAUGUGUUCUUUUGAC